rnacentral:rRNA from 1 species
AUUAAGUUAAGCACUCUAACGAGACUGCCGCGGUUANCAUGGAGGAAGGUGGGGAUGACGUCAAAUCAUCAUGCCCCUUAUGUCUAGGGCUACACACGUGCUACAAUGGCUGGUACAACGAGCAGCAAACCCGCGAGGGGGAGCAAAACUUGAAAGCCAGUCCCAGUUCGGAUUGUAGGCUGAAACUCGCCUACAUGAAGUUGGAGUUGCUAGUAAUCGCGAAUCAGCAUGUCGCGGUGAAUACGUUCCCGGGUCUUGUACACACCGCCCGUCACACCAUGAGAGCCGGUAACACCCGAAGCCCGUGAGGUAACCGUAAGGAGCCAGCGGUCGAAGGUGGGAUUGGUGAUUGGGGUGAAGUCGUAACAAGGUAGCCGUAGGAGAACCUGCGGCUGGAUCACCUCCUUUCUAGGGAGA